rnacentral:lncRNA from 1 species
GGCUCUGGUUACUCAGUGGCUGAAAACAAGACAAAGAAGUGUGUCUUUUGCAGGAGCCAAGCUGAGGGCACACCCUGAGAAAGCCAGAAGUGAAGGACCAGAUGGAAGAAAUUUGAAACAAGUGGAGCAGGAAACUUGCCCGGAAUGGAAACAGUAAAGGUACUUAGGCCUCAGCUGGGAACUGUGCAUCCAGAGGCACAGAAGCUGUCAACCUAUCAUCCCCAGAGCUGUGAGACAGGGAAAACAGCAAGAGAUGAGAAGCACUGGGACAAGCAAGCCACUGUUGGGUGGGAUGCAUCUCCAUUUGUGUUGAUUUUUCAUCUUGUUUCCCAGCAGCUGCAUCACCUGUCUGAAGGUAGGAAUUGUGACCUCUUGGACUAUCAGCAGCUUCUGGGCUCUAGGUUGGCUAACAGCUGUUCCCUCUGCACAGGUCAGAGGAUGGAGAUGGCAAAUCAGUGUACCCUGACUGGUCCCUUCAGCUGGAGGGAUGAAGAGGCAAGGGUCAAGAUGCCACAGAGAAAGUGA